GCUGAACGGGAGUCAUAUGAGAGAUAGAUGGAGCUGGCCUCCCGUGCCUACUGAGCUGAUUACAGUACUGUGCAAACACUGGCUCAGUUCAGCAGGAACAGGAGUCUGGUCCACAAACUCCACCAAACACUGCUGCUUCAGC
ensembl:miRNA mir24-3 microRNA 24-3